AGGAGCAUUAAUCCUAGCUCUGCUACAACCUUACUGUGGGGGUUAUUGCUGCACUGCUAGCUCAGCCAGAGGUUUGCUAUGAUUGCCUGAGAUGCUUGGCAAUGGAAGGACAACCAAUUAUUGUCUUCACUUCUGUGGAGAAGUGAUAUGAGGAGAGAGCUGUGUUCCAUAUCUGUGCUACUAUGAACAAAUGAGGUGUGAUGCUACUGACUAAAAGUGUCUGAGACAG
rnacentral:lncRNA from 1 species